CCACUCUGCUUUAUCCUCUUCUCUGGCUUUCUUCCACUCUGCUUUAUCCUCUUCUCUGGCUUUCUUCCACUCUGCUUUAUCCUCUUCUCUGGCUUUCUUCCACUCUGCUUUAUCCUCUUCUCUGGCUUUCUUCCACUCUCCCAUUUCCCUUCGAAACCAAGCUGGAGGCUCAUCCAGACUAUCUAAUGUCCUUUCAGAUCGGCCCCAUUCAUUUACAAUACCGCGAAAUAGUUUACAACGGUCAUUGUAACACUCGUCGUUAUCAAAAGCCCUUUUCUUGGAAUUGAAUAACGUUCUUUCAGAUUCAACAACAAAAUUCAAAUUUUUCUCUUUGUCUUCCAAUGCUUUCCUUUCUAGCUCAAGCAACUUUUUUUUUGCCGCAAUUUCAAAGUCGUUCAAAAAUCUCCUUCCCUCCUUUAACGACCGUUCGCAGGGAGGUUGAACGCCCAAGUCAUUCGCAAAUAGUUCAUUUAACCUAUUGUCUUCUUCAGACAUAGUUAAUAAUAUUUUCUGCUUUAUAACGUCAAAACGUGGUAGUACGACAAGGUACAGUUUAGC